rnacentral:rRNA from 1 species
UACGUAGGGUGCAAGCGUUUAAUCGGAAUACUGGGCGUAAAGCGUGCGCAGGCGGUUUUGUAAGUCUGUCGUGAAAUCCCCGGGCUCAACCUGGGAAUUGCGAUGGAGACUGCAAGGCUUGAAUCUGGCAGAGGGGGGUAGAAUUCCACGUGUAGCAGUGAAAUGCGUAGAGAUGUGGAGGAACACCGAUGGCGAAGGCAGCCCCCUGGGUCAAGAUUGACGCUCAUGCACGAAAGCGUGGGGAGCAAACAGG